UACGGAGGGGGCUAGCGUUGUUCGGAAUUACUGGGCGUAAAGCGCACGUAGGCGGCUUUGUAAGUUAGAGGUGAAAGCCCGGGGCUCAACUCCGGAAUUGCCUUUAAGACUGCAUCGCUAGAAUUGUGGAGAGGUAAGUGGAAUUCCGAGUGUAGAGGUGAAAUUCGUAGAUAUUCGGAAGAACACCGGUGGCGAAGGCGGCUACCUGGACCGAUAUUGACGCUGAGACGCGAAAGCGUGGGGAGCAAACAGG
rnacentral:rRNA from 1 species